GACGAACGCUGGCGGCGUGCUUAACACAUGCAAGUCGAGCGGUAAGGCCCUUUCGGGGGUACGACGAGCGGCGAACGGGUGAGUAACACGUGGGUGACCUGCCCUCAGCUCUGGGAUAAGCCCGGGAAACUGGGUCUAAUACCGGAUAUGACUCCACGGUGCAUGUCGUGGGGUGGAAAGCCUUGUGCGGCUGAGGAUGGGCCCGCGGCCUAUCAGCUUGUUGGUGGGGUGAUGG
rnacentral:rRNA from 1 species